AAUUGUUUCCUCGAGUCGUUGAUUUCACACUGCCGAGAAAAGCCUCUAGAUAGAUAAUAGGUGCCCGUACCGCAAACCGACACAGGUAGUCAAGAUGAGAAUUCUAAGGUGAGCGAGCGAACUCUCGUUAAGGAACUCGGCAAAAUGACCCCGUAACUUCGGGAGAAGGGGUGCUCUUUAGGGUGCAAGCCCAGAAGAGCCGCAGUGAAUAGGCCCAAGCGACUGUUUAUCAAAAACACAGGUCUCUGCUAAACCGUAAGGUGAUGUAUAGGGGCUGACGCCUGCCCGGUGCUGGAAGGUUAAGAGGAGUGGUUAGCUUCUGCGAAGCUACGAAUCGAAGCCCCAGUAAACGGCGGCCGUAACUAUAACGGUCCUAAGGUAGCGAAAUUCCUUGUCGGGUAAGUUCCGACCCGCACGAAAGGCGUAACGAUUUGGGCACUGUCUCAACGAGAGACUCGGUGAAAUCAUAGUACCUGUGAAGAUGCAGGUUACCCGCGACAGGACGGAAAGACCCCGUGGAGCUUUACUGUAGCCUGAUAUUGAAAUUCGGCACAGCUUGUACAGGAUAGGUAGGAGCCUUUGAAACGUGAGCGCUAGCUUACGUGGAGGCGCUGGUGGGAUACUACCCUAGCUGUGUUGGCUUUCUAACCCGCACCACUUAUCGUGGUGGGAGACAGUGUCAGGCGGGCAGUUUGACUGGGGCGGUCGCCUCCUAAAAGGUAACGGAGGCGCUCAAAGGUUCCCUCAGAAUGGUUGGAAAUCAUUCAUAGAGUGUAAAGGCAUAAGGGAGCUUGACUGCGAGACCUACAAGUCGAGCAGGGUCGAAAGACGGACUUAGUGAUCCGGUGGUUCCGCAUGGAAGGGCCAUCGCUCAACGGAUAAAAGCUACCCCGGGGAUAACAGGCUUAUCUCCCCCAAGAGUUCACAUCGACGGGGAGGUUUGGCACCUCGAUGUCGGCUCAUCGCAUCCUGGGGCUGUAGUCGGUCCCAAGGGUUGGGCUGUUCGCCCAUUAAAGCGGUACGCGAGCUGGGUUCAGAACGUCGUGAGACAGUUCGGUCCCUAUCCGUCGUGGGCGUAGGAAAUUUGAGAGGAGCUGUCCUUAGUACGAGAGGACCGGGAUGGACAUACCUCUGGUGUACCAGUUGUCGUGCCAACGGCAUAGCUGGGUAGCUAUGUAUGGACGGGAUAAGUGCUGAAAGCAUCUAAGCAUGAAGCCCCCCUCAAGAUGAGAUUUCCCAACUUCGGUUAUAAGAUCCCUCAAAGAUGAUGAGGUUAAUAGGUUCGAGGUGGAAGCGUGGUGACACGUGGAGCUGACGAAUACUAAUCGAUCGAAGACUUAAUCAA
rnacentral:rRNA from 1 species